rnacentral:sRNA from 1 species
AUUCUGCCCAAGCGGGGAAGAAUGAGAAGCUUCGACCAAGGUUCGACUUGAGCGCCAGCGAGAGAGCGUUGCCGCAGGCAACGACCCGAAGGGCGAAGCGCGCA